GGACAGGCAUAAAAACUAACCUUUUCGAUGCAAUCGGGUGAUGCCAAAAAAGAUCAGAUUGAUGUGUGUUACCUGAUACAGUGUCUUCUCGCAAGACUUACAUUUUUUCUACCUCACUGUGAGCGCCAUGUUUCGUCCACCAAAUUGGGAUCUGCGAGGCACGCACUCCAAUUGAUCAGCCCGGGAAUUCAUGGCAGCGCCUCAGAUCUACAAGCUCGAAUGGAGGAUCAUCCCGUCGCGUGGCAGCGAUUGCAGAUGUAGAUGUUGUCAGGCUUCACAUCCAGGUGACGGGGAUGGUCCAAAGUUGAGUUGAGCUCAAUUCAGCUCAAGUCAAUGCUAGUCAACAUAGUCAACGAUAAGUUUUAUAAGGAAAUAUUAAGUCAGAAAAAUGUUAUUCUUUGGUGAACUUGAAAUUUAUGAAUUUAAGUAUCAAUGGUUCAGAGAGAUUUUUAUUUUUUGAAUCUUUCUAAUGUAGUUUAUACAAUUUCUAGAAUUAGAAGUUCGUCUGAACCCAUAGAAAUUUUUGGGCUUUAUUGGUCCUAAAUAAAAUGGGAACAUUGAAGUUCGAAUGAACCAGAAAAUUUCUAUUGUACAUUUCAACAUUUUAACAUUUCAACAAUUGACUAGAAAUAUAUAAAUAAUUCGAAACACUGAUUCACUCGUUCAUUCUUUAGGGUUUACAGAGAUGGGAAGCAAGGAAGACAAAAAAUCUGUAAGUAGUUCUAGCAUACAGAAAUGUGAGAAUGUGAAUUUUGUUUCACUACCACAAUCUCCAUAUUACACGCCUGGUCCUUAUUACCCAUCCGGGAAUGUGGAGACCACUGUCACUAUUGAUAAAAAUGCUCCUGUUACUUCCGAAACAAUAAUCCAGAGCAAGAGAAAAGAAGAAAUGGACAGCACAGCGGAAAGCACUAAUAAAUCCACUCUAUAAACCUUUCAAUGGCUUUUGUAAUCCACUAAAAUAUUAAAAAAAAAAUAUAAGUUUUUUAUAUAUAUCUUAUUCCUUUUGAUAUGUUUUGUCUUUGUAAAGAUAUAUGAUAUAGACAAAUCAAAGAAUUAAAUCUAUAUAUAAUUUUGGGAUUGAAAGGUAAUCUUGCAAAAAGGCAUACUCACGUGCCUGUGUAUAUUCGCUAUUAUUAUAUAUGGCAGGCCAACUAUAUAAAAUGAGGCUACAUAUUAAUUAUAUGCUAGUUUUUAGCUUCUGAAACCCUAUAGCCACUUGUUUAUCAUAGUAGGUUGUAAUUACUAAAACUGACAAUUAUCAUUCACUAUAGUGUCAUGUCAUAGUAAAACAUCAUUCCCGAGAUUAAAAUAUAGUAUAUUAAUGAGAGAAUUCUUAUUGCUAGGAAGUUUAAUUCUUCUUGUGUGUUGCAAUGGUUAGGAAGAAGUUUAUUUUUGGUCCCGAAGGCCUUUCAUAUGAGUCUCCACCUCCAUCUCCAAUCUCAACUAAUAAUCCACCUUCACCUCUACGCAACAAUCCUCCUUUUCAUUUUGAGGGUUGUUGUGAGGCUCUUCCAUUUGCGACCUCGAGUGCAAUUGAACAAAAACUCCUUCCUUAUAAUGUUGUUAAAAAAGUUGGAUUGCCUCUAAUAUUUCAAGAGUGAUGUCAAUAUUUUCUUCAAGAUCUUGCUCCAGAUAUGGCAGGGGAGCUUAAUGUAGAUACAUAUUAUCUUCAGUGUCCUAUAUGCAACUUUUAUUUAAACAAGACAGAUGGUUGCAUGGGUUUGGUAAAUUUUAUUGAGCAUUGUCGCAAAUGCCCAAGAGCGGGUUUGGAAGGUGUGCAUGCGUGGAUGUAUAAGAAAAUCAAGAAAGAAUUAAAAACACACAGCUAUUAUGAUUUCAUAGUGGAGAACAAUAUUCCAUUGGUGAACACUACAUCAGUAAGUGCUGAAUAUGGGAUAUUUAGGCCACCCUUUAAUGUAAUGUGAAAGUCAUGCAUAGUUUUUUCAAAAGGUUAAUUCUUUAUGAGUAAAGUGGAGAAUCUUAUAUUUUCGAGAAUGAUAUUAUUCUAUCAUGUAUAAAGAUAUUAUUAUAUAUACAAGUGGUUCUGACACUGUUAUAAUUUUGAAGUCCCAUUUUUGAGACUGACAAUUUAAACUUUCAAGAACCCCUAGAUCUUUUUUUAGUAUAAAUACCAACAAGGGAUGCUUUCAACAUUGAAAUUUCAGUUUGUUUAGAGUGUAGGAAUGGCUAGAAGCUCUAUUUCGUUAAAGUGGGAUUUAUUCAGUAAAAUGGGACUAGGUGCAAAUUUUCAAGUAUUUGAAAAUGACGUGAAAUUAUAUGUUUUUUGUCUAGGGGCUAGACAUAUCUGGGGCAUGGUGACUAGCGCAGUGACUUUGUGUCCAGACUGAGUCCAUCUGGUUGUAUAAUAAAUCUCAUUGUCAAGGUGAACAAGCCGAAUCUGAAGCUAAAGAAGAGCGAUGGCAUGCGUGCACACACUAUUUGUUUGUUCAUUGAGCAUGUGGUGAGCUUUCCAAGAUGAAUGUCAUUCCUAUUAGCCAGACAUAUAACUUAAUGGUGAGAACAUUUAGAUAUUAUUCAAUGUUAUCUUUUUCUAAUGAAUCUAAUUGUGAAGGUGUAGCAAGAGGCAUUGCUAGUCUGGAGAAGUCAUUUAACUCAUUUGACCCUUAGUGUAUUUUCAUGAAACUAAAUAACAUUCAUAUUAUUAAGGAAUUUCUCUAGUACCUUUUUUUUAUGACAUAGAGGCUUGCAUUUCUUUCAAAGGUGAUUUAGUAAAAGGCCUGAGGGCACAUGCCAUUCUAUUUCUCAGAUAUACUAGUGCAAAGGGAAAAAGGUAUUUGGUGAUCAAGUAAAUGGCAUGAGGGCACACGCCAUUAUAAGCCUAAGCGCUAGUGGACACCUCCUUUUUGGUGUCACGCCUCACGCCAUCACGCCAUGCCAUCACGCCUCCUCUGAUUCAGAUUCGGAUUGUUCACCUUGAAAUAAAAUACAUUAGAAACUUAGUAAAGGAAUAUUAAUGAAUCUCACCUUGAACCCGGGUUAUGAAUGCUCUUGCUGCAUCUCUUGCAUGGUCUGGCAAGGUGAUGGUGGCACUCUGCUUCCGCAUCCAACCAUGCACAACAUUAUCCACCGAUAUGCUCAUGCUGGGAUCCCUUGGAUUCAGCACCCAUCUCUUUUCUAGGCAAUCCUUUGUAUAUCCGGAACUUGGCUUGAACCACUCCACAGUUACAUUGAAGGAGUUAGUUUCCGCGUCCUCCUCUGCAUCAGUGAUGCAGCGCCCCACCCAUAUCAUUUGUUUUUUAUUACUGGGUCUGACAAGCACGACCAUUCCUUUGCAGACCUAUACUGGAUUGAAUGCUGAAUCCGGCUUCUUGUUCCUUGGCCCACAAUAGUGAUCCUCAACAUCGUUAUCUGUCACUGCAUUUCCAGAGGACAUUGUUCCGCUACUAUCUGGUGCUCUAGGUUCUGGCCAAAAGGACUCUUCCAAUUCUUCAUAUACAACCGGCCCAUUUUGGAUAGCAGAUAUAAUCUUCUCCCAGUAUUCGAGCAAAGGCUUGCACCUCUGAAAAUAGGAUUCUCCACCAAACACCAACCCCCACUUCCAGAAGGCAAUAUGCUGUCUAAUCCCGGCCACUAUACUUUCCUGGUCUUUGAGUCCAUCCGGGUGCAUCGGCCGUGGGGAACCCUGAGGAAUCAUAGGUUCCCCAGUUAUGGGAUCUCUCUUGAAGAGUUCAAUGCCGUCCACUGGCAGCCACAGUGUGUCCCAUUCUCUCAUCUUGUACCUCAUCACUGGAGCACCGUCACGCAUGCUGAAAUGAAACUGAAGAGGCUUGGAGUGGCCAAUCAGUGUUUCGGAUCCGUCCCUGAUGUAGCCUCUUACAAACCCCUUAAAGUCUGGAACCUCUGUCACAAGUGCAGCUUCAACAGUGCCUUUGAUGCAAUUUUGGAAUUCAUCGUAGAGUUGUGGGAGGGUGAGGACAUUGGAUCGCCGGAGGGACUCUGUCAGGUGACUGAACAUGGCAUCGACGUCUUCAUAAGUGUGCCCAACCAUGAGAAAGCCAAGUGUAACCGUUUCAAAUAUGCCUUUGGCAACAAGCAUCGCCAAGUACGCGAAGAUGUACAUGUUUUUGUUCUCACUGCCAGCAUUGUCUGUUUGGAGCAGAAGAUGGGGUGGAAGGCCACAUCGGCCGCAAGAACUUCCUUGAGAUUCUGCUUUGUUUGGAUGAGGCUGUGUGUUCAUCGGGCGACCAGCCUCGUUGGAAUGGCAUGAGGCCUCACGUGAUAACCCUACAAUCUAACGGCCAACAUAUUCACUAGGAUGGCAUGGGGCCCCACGCAAUACUGCAAGCCUUUGCUCCUCCUCUAGCUGAACCCUGUAUGGGGUUCGAUCGACAAGGGCCUUAUGCAAUGGUUGGCCGUUCAGCUCAGUCUGCGCACUUUGUAGAGACCUUAAGUGUUUUGUUAGGGACGCAAUCAUCAUGUUUGCACCCCCGCCACCCCAUAGAGGUACAAAGAAGUUCCCAUAGUUCUGGGCACCAUGCCCAUGAGCGAUUAUGCCAAACAGAGACACAGGCAGCUGCAUGGAUGAAGAGAUUGCCUUGGGGGUAGGAUUGAGUCGAGGUAAGCACGUCUUUUUCUGGUCCAUUUUGUCGUGGAUGAUGCAGAGGUAAGAGUCAGGUCUCUCCAUGGAGAGAAUCUUGUUAUGAUAAUAUGCAGUCCUGCAGCUUCUCUGCUCGAUGUUGUGGUCAAGCCGCCUUCUAACCAACGUCUCUCGCUCUUGAGCGCUGCAAGAAUUCUUCGACAAAGCCAUUUUGAUAGCAGUGCACUCGUCACACUUUGAAAAGCUGGAGUACUUUCCUAUACUCACAUCCCUGAACCUGUUGCUCCACAAUCUACUAAAUCUAGAUUGGCUCAGCUUCCUAUAGCCAUUACUCUGGAGUUCCCGAUUCACAUCUUCCAAUAUGGCCCCCUUGGUAUACAUGGAAGGGAGAACUCGUUGGGUGUCUCGUGUUCCAUCUUCCAAGAGGCGGGUUUUAUGUGGUUGCUGCUCGCUACAUAUCUCGACAAACCUCUUGAAGAUUGCCUCUCCAUAUACAACAUGACCCUUGGUUUUGUGCGUACCAUCAUUCCCAUGGACUGCCUGUUGAACCCUUUGUUCCUCGAACUCAGUUUUGAUUCUGUAGAAUGUGGUUCGAGGGACUCCAUAAAUGAUUCUCCAUGCCUUCAUGCAGACCAAACCCCUCUGGAAGACCAUGCCCCCCACCUGAUGUUCUGAAGCAUCAACAGAUGACCGUAAUGCCUCAUACACAAAAUUGCGAGCUGCCUUCCAGGACAAUGUCUUGUAUCUUGCUCUCUCCUCUUCAAUAGCAUCCCAAUCAGCAUGUUGACAGCACCUCCUCUUGCAACAAGCAACUGUCGAGACCAUUCGAACCUCCAUCGCCAUUUUCUGCCUUUUCGGUUCGUUGCUCAGAUCCCUUUGGCUGCGCUUUAGGAAGGUGUACUUUCUUUUCCCAUGAAGAGAUGUUCUGUCAUCAGUUGUAGUGGUGUUUGAUUGUGAAUCCUUCACAUUCUCAAACACUAAAUGCCUCAAUUUCCACGGCACAAUGCUUCCAAUAGUCAGACUGUUUUCUUCUGUGUCAACAACCUCUAAAAUCGCAAUUCCAAUAUCAUCCCAGCCCAAUUCCUGAUUAGCAACCACAUCUAUUGGAUUGACAACUGUGGCUAAGCCCUCAGCUACCACCUCCCCCUCGGGGUUGUUUAGAAACACCUUUGCCUGAAUCCAUGUAGCACGGUUCUUAAGAUCCACGGAGGGAACAUGCGUCGCACUUGUGCUAUCCCCAACAUUUGCUUUCUUCUGCAGAUUUUUCAAGGCAACAACAACAUUUACCCCGACGACCAUCUCUCCUCGUUCAAUAGCGACCACAUUCCCAUCGAAGACAGUCUCUACUGAUACAGCAGCAUUGCCUUCCCCAAGCCUUUGACAGUGUAUAACAAAGUUCCGAUCCAUAGACACAAGGGUCCCUUUUGCAACUCUCUUCCCACCAUUCAAAAUGUAAACCUUUUCCCCAACCCUGAAGGCCAUUCUGAAAGUGCAAAAAAGAAGUUAAGACCAUACAAAAAAUGAUUGGAGAAUGGCUUAAAUCAUAACAUACCAAAUAGCAUGAGGCCACAUGCCAUUAUUCAAACAUGCUAUUGACACCCACGUGAAAUUUCGCAUUCACAAAAUUGGCAUGAGGCCUCAUGCCAUCUUGAUAUACACACAGCUGCAGGCAAGUAAAAACAUACAUGACAAUACGCUAGCCAUGAAAUUGCAAGGGCCCAAGAUGGCAUGUGGCCUCAUGCCAUUUCUAAAUGUGGUCCUAAGCCAUUCCAUGGUGAACAUACCAGGAAGCACAAGUGCCGAAUAUCAAGAGGAAGCGGUAGCCACACCAAAGACAGUGCCGCUCGCAACACCGCAACUACUCGUAGCGCCGCUCGCAACACCGCAACUGCUCGUAGCGCCGCUCGCACAAACUGCCACUCGCAUAAACUGCCGCUCGCAAUGGCGCUCGCAAUGCCGCAACCGCUUGUAGACGCAUAAACCACAGCUCACAACGCCGCUUACACAAGCAGCGCUCACUGCACUCAGCGGAACCAAGAACACGGCGCACAAAAAUGAUAGACCUAGGAAUGAGUUCGAGAAUUCAAAAAUAACACACGCUUGAACGUCACAUCAAAUCCUCUGACAAACCAGAUCUUAUGAUUCUCUGACAAAUUUCAAACUGAGUAGCUUCUAGACUUUGCUGUCGGAGGUUGAACUUUGUCACAUCAUGUCCUUGCCUCGAUUCAGCUGUGCCAUGUCAGUGAUUCGAACUUUGCCAUGCCGUGUCAGCGAUCCGCGCCAAGAUUAUUCGCCGUGUAAAGGAAUAAUUAUGCUGUGUGUGUACGUCCAUUUAUGGCAAUAUAAGGCCACAUGCCAUUCAAAGAAUAAUGCUAGUUGAGCAUUUUUUGGUGCAUUUUUUGGUUCAAAAUUGCAUGAGCCCACACGCUAUAAAGUUUACCAGUACCAAAAAUAGAAACAGCUUUAUUUACUUGGGAAUUUAAGUGGUUGAGGCAUUUUUAAACUUACAAACACAUGCCCCAUUUACAUUCCUUUGGUUUCUUAAAAUUCAAAAAUAUUAUAAACCUUUAUUUUGCAUUUUCAAUGUUUUCAAUUAUGGUUUUUGAUUUUCGCAGGACCAGCCUAGUAAUCUAUUUGCAUCCUGUCAUGUUUAUAGCUAGCUUUCGUUUGUCCCCUUCGCUAGCCUGAGAUACAUCUGCUCGGCAUCUGCCUCUUACAGCAUUUGCCCAGAAAGGGCAUCUUUCUUCACGCAGCAUUUGCCACAUGUUUAGGGUUUAGGGUUUAGGGUUUAGCAAUUCAGUAGCUUGAUAAACAUGCAAAUACAGAACUUGAUGCAGAAUCCUUUGAUAUGCCACAAUGCCCUUAGGACCAUAAACACAUUUCAAUAGAGAGGGUCCUUUCAUUUCAUAACUCCUUACGUAGAUCUUGGUGAAACCAGAGUUAGUGAAGUUAGUUUCUUGUGAUCCCGCAUCUGAUUGUGAUGUCCCUUUGCAGUGUCGAUGGAAAGGUCAAUGCACACCAAAUUGUAAAAUCUUGGAGCAAAAUAACGGUCGGAUCUAUGGCAAAUGCCCUUGAAACAUUGUAAGGCUUGUGUGGUCUCAUGUGGUGUCCGAUCGAGAUGCUUUUUUGCAGGGUCAUCAAGAAGGACAUUGUAUACCAUUCUGUAAAAUCUAGUUGCAAUCUAACGGUUGGAUCUCCAGAAAACUCAAAACAAUCUCGCGCGUGUCAGAAUAUUCUAGGAAUAUACUCCUAUGUGCCCCUGAAAAUGGCAUGCGGCCCCAUGCCAUUCAAGAGAUAACGCCAGAUGACGCUGAGCAUUUUUUGGUGCAUUUUUUGGGAUCAAAAUUGCAUGAGCCCACACGCUUGAACGUCACAUCAAAUCCUCUGACAAUUUAUUUAGCUGAACAUCUGGCAUUUUUGGAAAUACAAGAUGCUUUGGAAUAUCCAAUCAUGCAUGGUUAUAAAUAUAGCGAGGGUAUUAAAUGAUAUCCCAAUCAUGAUCUUUCUUUUGGAUUUCACGUGCAUGCAGUCCGAGGAAUGAUGACGUUACGGAUUUCUUUUGGAUUUCACGCAUGCGCACGGCGAUCCAGAAAUUAAUGGUGGCACCCAAGUCUGAGGAAUGAUGAUGUGGCGGGAUUACCAACCGUCGUGACAUUUCGUGCGUGUGAGGUUAGGUUUUGCAUUUUGCUUUGUACUCGCACUCGCACACUUGCGCUCGCAUCGCGCUCCCACUCGCGAUCAUGCUCACAUUCGCGCUCAUCUACCUUCUCUACAAGUUUCUCGUGUGCAUCGGUGUCCACUCGCGCUUGCAUCACACUCACGCUCGCAUCGCGCUCGUGUGCAUCGGCGUCCACUUCAAGACACACCUAGUUUGUAACUUCGCCGCCAACUCCGCCGCCCACUCUGCCACCCACACGCAGCCCACUUGGCGUCCCGGGAGAUUUCAGCGCCACUCUCCAACUGUAAGUGGCAGAGUAGCCUUGCGGCUACGAUCCGUUGCACACACAGUGCACAUUCGCUAGCGAGUCCGGUUGUCACGCCUCCAUUCGGCUUCAAAUGGUAAGUCUUUUAGGCCAAGUAGAAAAUGGCAUGAGGCCACAUGCCAUUCAGUAGCAACAUUGGCAUGCACCGAUUGGGCUCUCGAGUGCAGUCCAGUUACAGAUGGCGUGUAGCCUCACGCCAUCUUAGGAUGCAGCCUCAAGACAUCUGAUGCAGUGGUGAAUGGCGUGUGGCCUCACGUUAUUUCCAGCUGCUAGCUUUUCAUUUGUCAGCUCUAAUUGUUGUGCAUUUCUGAACAGGUGAGGAAUUGCGUUCUUCUUCCAGCCACUGUCAAUGUGGAUGCAGAGAAGGGGGAGGAGCUCACCAAUUGGACUUUCGGGAUGGAAGGCGAGGAUCUGAGGCUGUACAACACAGAUGGUGGGAGAAAAGAAUGCAUGGGGAUCCUCAUCCAAGUGACAGACACUCCAUGCAGUUCCAUGCAAGAAUAUGGACUGGCACUUGUGGUAGAGACAGCGUCCGCCUUCAAGAUCCACCUUGCACAUCCUAGCGGCUUCCCGGAGGGGGGCAGCGGCUAUGAGGAAUUCCUAGAGGGAGCUAGGGAGAGGUUGUCCAGGAGGCCCACAAUUUCAAAGACGCUGUGGGUUUAUGAAGAUCUCAUGGAAUCCACGGACCUCACCUACGGCGAUGCUCAAAAACUAUAUUCCAACAUUGAGCCGUUGAGAGUGCCUCCAGUUUGUGAAGCGAAGGGGAAGGGGGUCGAUCUGGAAACUACCCCGAAGCAGAAAAGGGUGGUCAAGCUCAAGCCGACGUCCGACUCUCCUCCAAAAAAGAAGCUACUCGGUGAUGCCAUUGCCUUGGGUUUGAACACUACACCCACCAAAAAGAAGAGCCGCAAAGAGCAGAAAGAGCAAGAAGAGGCAGCAAAAAUCGUCGCAGAUAAUAGUACUUGUUACUAUUCCAACAAAGUAUAUACAAUCGACGUGAGCCGUAUCGACAUCCAAAGCAAAUACAACCACAGGCUAGUAUCUGAUGAGUGGGUAGAGAAACUGAAGCAGAAGAUGCUGGCAAGUCCAGUAACACCUGACAUCGCAAACGUGAUCCCCUACUACCGAACAAUGAAGGGCGAGACGAGGUUUCCAGACUUGAUCAAUAGGAAGGUGUUGGACGAUCAGAACAUCCGGUUUUAUGCCGUCUCCGGGCAGCAUUCUAGCUUGGUGAUGCAAGAGAUAGUUGUGGAUAUUAUGGUGGGCGAGGAGGUGAAGAAAGUCUUCAAGACAAGAGUUGUCCGCCUGAUAAAAGGCAACUCGCCCCUCCGAUCUAUCAUAUACAUCUCCCACGCGCAGAAUGUCAAGCAAGAAACGUGCUACAAAUCGGGUCUGCACGAGACAUUGGCACGAACACGGAAGCUCUGGGUUCAACUGAAGAAGCCACAAAAACCAGGACAAGGACGUGCACUAGCAACUAGCGCCUGGCAGGUAAGCCUCGUUGCAUGUGGCAUAGCAUGUGGCCUCACGCCAUUUCCAUUGCAGGAAUUCUCGAGUCUUCUCUCGAAAACACUGGGGGUCAAUGACACACUCAGCAUCCAUAACAUUCUACUCGCGACAAAAGUUGUUUUUGACAAAUGGGUAGAUGUGCUGAGGAGGUACCAUGACGGGAGUUACUAAACUCAAUGGGUGUGGAGGACGGCCGGAAGCCCAAUGAUUUGAAGCCUAACGCCUUGCAUUUCUUGCGGUCUCUAGACGACGACGACCUUCUGACAGUGGCUAAUGCUCUUCUACAUGGUGAGGUAGUCUUCAACAAGACCAAAAUGACUCCCGGCCAUAUUGUGACAUACGAGGACUUGUGCACGACUCUGAGAGCUCGUGCGCUAUUGAAGGAUUGGAUCUUCGAGCAAGUGGCCGUGGAGAGGGUGAGCAUCGACACCAUGCAAGAGAUGAUGGAAGCGCUGGAUUUGUCAAAUGAAAACAUCGACGAGUACGUGAAGGGGGCCCCCAAGUUCAUCGAUCUGCUGCGGGAUGCCACGAAAAGUAAAGCUGAGAAGUUGGAUUAGUAUCCAAAUUUCAUUAAGAGGGAUGUCGACCGCCGGCUUCAGAAACAGCUCGACCCCGCAGCAGAGGCCUAUCGAGAACCUUACCGGGUAUACUUAAAUUCGGAUGAGGAUCAAAGGUGGAGGAGCAUCGUUUCCCGCGGAGAUGAGCAGAUCAAGAACAUCUUUUGUGUGAUGGACUUCACAAACGAGGAGAUCACUCAUGCAGACGAAGUCAGCUCCAUCAUUGACUUAAUGGUGGGACUUGCGGAGGUGGAAUCUUCAGUCCACUAUAUGAUCUACGACUCCGAAUCCUAUCACAAGUUCUGGAAGGCCUUGAACGAGGUGAAGGCUCGGUUGAAAGGCAAGGAGAUGCGGGAGAUCCAUGGGAUAAUGGCUAAGAAGAAGAUACUGGCGAAUGUCCGCAUCUUCACACUCGCCUUUGUUAUUGGUCCUGCAGCAGAGUGGGACUGGAGUGACUUCCCAGCUUCGUUCGACAAGGCCGAUCGAAUUGAUUUGAGGGAGGUCAAUUUACCCGUGCCUGAGGAACUGAAGACGGCUAUGGAGCUUUCGAAUCCAAAGAAAGCUCCAGGUGCAGCAUGGGAAAUGCUCAGCUGGGUCUUCAACGCAAUAGCGGGUGGGUCACCUGCUUCCGACUCCAAGGGCAAAUGCGUUGUCGAGUACAACUGCGGCGGACUAUUCUUUCGAGCCGCACUACUCAAGGGUGUCCCGUGUGUUGCGGUGACAAACUCCAUUGAAGAGGUGACUUCAAUGGAGCAUAUAAUUACAGUUGCCAAAGAAAAACAGUAUCUUCUCUGCGAACCUGGUGAAUACACACUUUAAGUUUAAAUGUUAUCUCACAAGCUCUGUAUGCAGGAGCGUGGCCACCCCCAGAUGCUGAAACAGCGUUAACAGCUACUGUUGAAGAUACCCAUGUUGGGCCGAGCUCACAACCUGCACAAGGUAAGGUCACGUGAGGCCUCACGCCAUUUUGAUUAUAGAUCGUUGUGAAUAUUCAGACACGAGGACUGAAAAGCGCACUGGUGGCGCGUUGAAGAAGAAAAAAGACAAGCAAUAGGAAAAAAGGAGGUACAAAUUAUAUUUGCAAUGGCGUGUGGUCUCAUGCCAUUCCUUGCAGGAGACACUUCUUCAAAGGCAAAACAGGCAAGCACCAGCCAAGCUCAAACUGUCAGUGGUCAUAAAAAGCGAAAGCACGUUGGACAUUUGUCGGGAUCAGAGGCGUUUGAUUCGAAAAGGAAGAAGGGCAACGAAAAGAUGAUAGGUAAUGCCUCACAGUUAUGGCGUGUGUGCUCAUGCCAUUCAUUGCAGGUCAAGGGCUGAGUGAAAGCAGGCAGUCACCACCUCUUGACUCAGAUUCCUAUGGCGGACUCCCCUUCCCCAAUCUCAAUGGAGAGGUACAAUGGAUGAGGGAUGCUUUUCAAGUCAGGGCCACAUUUUUCUCAUCUCGUCGUCUUCGAAGGAUGCAAGAACGUGCAGAAACCAUGUUAAGACAGUCGGGUGAGGAUACGGUCCUAGGUCACUGUAGCGCACGUGGUUUUGACCCUUUAUCCUAUGGUGAUUUACCAUAGGAUAACACCACGAAGCGGAACCUAAACCCUCUUUGUGCCACGUGACAGAUGCCAUGUGUCACAUGCCACGUGUCCAUGCCACGUGUCCAUAGGAACCCGAGGUUCAGGGCCUUGGGCCACUGAACGAAGGAACGGUGCCAAACUCCCAAGCGUGACGCCAAGGAGUGAUGGAACCGAACCACGGAGCAACUCCCGAGCAUACAGCCCAAGGAGCGAAGGGACAGGGGCCUGGAGCGACUUGGAACAGUCCUAGAGCAACCAGCAUCCCAAUGCCAGGACCAGCACGCAAAACGGAGCCAAACGGAGUCUGGCGCUAUUUCGGCAUACCGGUGGCCUAACGCGAGGACAUGGGUACUCCACCAGCUAGCAUGGAAUGGAACUUGGGCUUAGACCCAAGCCGGACGCAGAACAAGGACAGGCACGCAAGCGGGAGCUAGACUAUGCCUCAGGUUGGUCGGCCAUGCCCGACCUACCCACUAUCCCUACUAUACAUUUGGAACCCCCCAUAGCCCCCCCCCUUGAGGAACACACGCUUUGGGCUUUCACCCCAAGCCUCCCUUAGUAUCAGGAGUUAGUCUCUGGAACAAACUUAAAACUUACUAAAUAUGGAAUGUCCUUAGAAUGCGAAUUUGGACAUAGGACGAACACCAUUGUGUUCAGGCCGACCUCUACAUUCCGUAGAUAUGCCAAAUGAGCGAAUCUAGACACUUUCCAUAAAUAGCAUUUGGGACCGAAAUGAGACUAACACAAAGGGCAUGAUAGCGAGGGUGUUUGGCAAACACGGUAAGCUAUCAUGUAGCGAUAUUGAGGGACCAAUCUCAAUACGCGAGGGUUCUUGUCAAGCCAGUGCAAGACAGAGCAAAAGAGAACUAAAAAGCCAGGCCAAGUAUGCUUGGCUGAAUAGACACUUAGGAAUUCCGUCCUUAUGCUCAUCCGGCCAAGUACAGAUGCAAAGUCCAGUUUACUAACACUUGAACAAGAGGGGCUGAUAAAGGGUCCAGCAAUACCGACCUCCUGCCAUCGUGGCAGUAAGGAAAGAGUGUCCGUAAGGACUAGCCGACAGGUAACUUUCGAUACCCAAAGUCACAUGCGCGACACUCUCCCCCCCUUGGGAAGAUCGACGUCCUCGUCGAUGCAUACUCGAGUCUAGAAUACCGCCAAGGAAACAACUCCAUAAAAAGUUCACGGUACUCACACUAUGUGAGAAAUGCACCAACUUAAAUGAGUUAGGGGGUAACCUCUUUGUCUAACGCGGAUGCACUACCAGCUCAGACACCUUCCGGCCGUCGCCGACAAGGAAAUGACCAACGGAGUCAGCCACCCCUGCUGCUCUGGGAGUCACCCAGCUUACAAAAGUGUGAUAUGCCCUGCCCGCAGAGACAUAGAGAGAGAAGCCAGAGGCCCCAACCCUCCUGAGCAAAGAAACCAAACCCGUCAGUAAGGUUUAGAUAGACUACUGUCAACAGGCAGUUUAGAGUUGUUUACACGGUCACGCCCUUUCACGGAACAAGGAACAUCGACAAAGAGGCGGGUUAUGUGACCAGUCGACAAUAGCUACCCCAUGACUAGAGAUUUCACCAUGUACACGAAGUGCCGAAGCCAGUCUACCUAUACUGGCCCAAACUCAAAGAUCAAUAGAUGGACAAUAUCAAAGUCAGAGACAAUGAUAUCUGAGAAGCUUAAUUACUAGUGAUUAUAUCGUAGAGUAGAACACAAAAGUAUUCUAAGCAAGUUAUCAUCUGAUAAACCAGUAGUAUUGUAGAUAGGAACCACCAAGAUCAUCAUAAUUUGGCAAACAUAGGAAUGACCAUCCAACAAAAUUCAAUAGCUAGUAUAUCAUCAAGGAAACUCAAUGAUGAAACUUAACUACCGAAGAAAGUACACAGUAAGCCAACAACUUACUAGAGAGAACUCAAAGAACACAAAGUAUCAUUGACUAACAAGCACAAUGCUCGCGAAUGUAUUACCCAAAGGAAAUAACAUCCAAAUCUAUCAAAACUAACUCGAGCAACAAUCAACAGAAGAGAAUGAAUGUGGUAAGACCAACAAACACUCAUGCCUGCCAACUAUCACAAAAGCCAAUCUGAAUAGAUCCCAGCCAACAAUACCAAGGAACUCAAGUUGCCUAAGCAAGUGUCAGCAACAUCCUACUGACGUCUCAAACCCAAGAGACCAAUCCAGAGCAAACCACAAAGAACAUGUGGUAUUGCCAAAAGCCAAAAGCCAUCAAAGAGAACAACUAACUAUCAUGAAAGAUCGUCAAUCAGCCCAUCAAUGUAGUGAUGUAUAAUCAUCAUUGAAGAAAGAAUCUACCAUCCCGAAGAAUAGCAAAUAAUUCCAAACCAACAAUAAUCAAGCAAAACUUGUGAUAAGGACAAUCAACUACCCUAGAUGAUAGUCAAUCAUCACCAAUGAUUGCCAGAUGCAAAAACCAACUUCAACAUCGAAGCUAAUGAGCCAAAAUGCCUUCCCCAACAACUUCUAACAAAUGGAACAAUGAGCACAAAACUCAAAGAACCAAAAGCUCGAAGAAGCCUAUAACUAAGUCUUGCCUAAUAAUGAUCACGAGUCUCAUAGAAGCUAACUUCAAUGCUAAAGAAGAAAUCAUGGUGCAACCCACAAUAUCUUCCUCAACACAUCCAUAAGCCAAACUUCAUAAUGCCAAAGCUAAUGAAGAGCAUUUCUGCAUCAAUCCAAAAGCUAAGCAUAACGAAGCUAUGCUUAACAAGUGAUCACCAAACGAUCCUCCAUGAAUCCAUCUAUAGCAAGACGUAACUCACUUCAUAGCAAGCAUAAGAAGAAUCAUUAAUGAUUGAUAUAUCUCAAUUGAAAUCCAAGAAGGAUUCAAUCACUUCAAUGCCAAUCACUAACUCUUCCUCUUAUAGAGGUAGCAUUGUUCACGACUAAAUCACUUUUCAAGGAAAAGCUAAAGCUCAACCUCAACUAAGCAAUCUCGUCUAGAACACAACUAACCCAAACUUGCCACUCAGUUCAUUUGAACGUCAAUACAGUUGCUAACUAGCAAUUGCACGAAUGCCAACAACACAAAGCAACAGCCAAAUCAUCAACACUAUCUUCAUCAAGACUAACGAAACUCGACAUCAAUCUUGCGGAGAGACAUCUCAUUUCACUGAAAUCUCAAUAUCAACAAUAUCAAUGACAAGGCAUCACUUCAAUGCCAUCAACAACAGAACAAAGCUAGCAGAAAGCAAGAGUGAAUCACCACUCGAAGCUUUCCAGCAACCAAGCUAACCAAAGUCGAAGAUACUAUACUUAGUAUCCGAGAUCAAUCCUUCAGCAAAACUCAGUUACAGAUACACAUCAUCAAGGAGUGAUUCACCACGUCCAAGACUCAAUGAAAUCCAACACUACGGACUAGACGUAACCAAAUGAUAUCGACAGAGGUAGAGUCGACAAGCCAACAUGAAAAACUCAUGUAAGUCUAACGACAUGAUCCUCCGCAACACCACCCGGUAAAGCAAGCCCAUCACUGCUAAAUCUUCAUCGAGCAAAGCAAGUGUCAACAGUCCUCGACAAAGUCUAUAAGCAAUCACUAGUCGCAAAGCAACUAACAAUCACUCCUCAACUUGCCUUCACAAGACCCAAACACCAACUCAUAUCAUCGAGUCACAUACUUGUCCAACAUGAACAUAAUACCCCAGGUAUGAGAUAAAAGUUCAUAGACAAGCACAAACUAAAUGACCACUCGAAUCCAACUCAACCGCCAUAAGCUCACUAAUGCAUUUAGUCAAUAGCUCUGAGCAUGCCUUGAAGAGGCUAGCUAUGUGAUCAACACUCAGUCGUAACUAAAGUGAAGACCAUGAGAUGGACUCACAUCGGUACACAACCUCCUCAUAGACAAAGCUAUAGUAUGGGUACCAACAUCUCAACCUCAAACAACUAAGUUGGACAUCACCAUCCUCAGCCAAGGCGCAGGGCCACCAAGACCAAGUCAAGAUCAGUGAGAGCUCACUACUCUCAUAGAGUCUAACGUAAUGCAAGGUGCAAAUUGCCACCAAGCACAAUGCUACAAAAGAAAGGCACAAGGGUCACCUUUCUUAGAAAAGUGCAACAACCACUUUUCUACACCAACUCUAGACUCUAUCCAACUCAAUUGCCUUAGCCCCAAAAGUCAGCAUCCCUUUCGGGUUGCAUCAUACAAACUACCUACCAAGGUCUAAGCUAACCGAAGUCAACUCCAACCCCUUCACUAGUUUGUACUGGCCUUCGAAAACGGAAUGGUUUUCGGACAAAAUGAUCAAUAGAUCAGCCAUUGGAAAAGUCUAAGAAAAUUUGUGGAAAAUUUCCCAUCCUAGAGAAAGAAUGACUCUCAGUCCAGGAUUGCAAACUUUCAAGACUCAACCAACUUCCUCCUACUAACAACUUCACAUAGGUUCACCUCAACACAAGUUCUCAUGACCAACAAUAUGCUUAAGCAUCGAACAUCUUUUUGCCCAUAUUUCCGAUAUCCAACUCCGACAUCCGCAAAAUGCAAAAUGAAUAUCCAAGGCUUGAUCAAGAAGACCACAUCUUUGGAUAUCCACAUUGCACUAACACUCUUCUUCAACCACCUUCAAGAUCCAAUAUGAAGUCAAAACACUAACAAGAAAAAUGACAUGGAAAAUCAAGCUCUAAGGAAAAUUCCUCAUCACUUGAAAUAACAAUGCCACCUCCACUAACACAAGUGCUAGUGAUGUCAAUGCCCCAACUACACAUCUUCUCCAUCCAACAAUCUACUCCAAGUGCUAACGGAUCAACCAACAAGCCAUAGCAAAUGAAUGCUAUAACCCUUUCCAUCACCUAACAGGCAAACUCAAGGAAACAAGGUACCAACUUAAGCUUAGCAUAAUGGACUACCAUCGAGAAUCCAGUCAAAGCUACUACAAUGCUACUUCGUGCAAGUAGACUAGCUUCUCCAUUAACCACUUUGGGGUUGAUCAUCAUUUACCCAAGCAACUUCGUAAACGCAUUACUCUUUAUCACAUGGAUAUGAUAUAAGCAUCACAAUGACUUUGAUCAUCAAUUGAGUAACGCAAUGAGCAAUGCCUAUGUCAUUACUUCAAACGUUUAUGUGAGUAUCAAAUGCCAACUCGAUUCGACAAAAUGCAACAUAAAUGCCACAUUCCACGAAUAGAGGUUUACGACACCCAACACCACUAACUUUUGUUCAUAACACAGACAAGCUUAUGCCACUCUCUUUCCGACCAAUCUCAAAACUAUUCCAACACCAAGCUACUCAAGGAGCAAUAACAAGGUUCCCUGAAAAAGAAUUGAGCAUUGCAACCCCAGUCUUCCAUAGCAAGCUUAGACAAAAUGGUAUCACAUUUCACCGCUAUCCAUCCCACAACUCACCAUUUGUAAGACCAUCAUUUCCAACAUGCAUCAAGGUAGGGACUCUUGAUUGCAUAAUGUAAACACAAGCAAUGAGUUAACACUUCGUUGCAAAUCAUCUCUCCAAGAAGAGAAAAUGAUUUACGUAUUUGAUCCUUCGUCCCUGACGACUCUCUUUCCGGCCUCAUCUUGACUAAACCUCAAGCUUGCUUUCGCACUGCCUUCAGUUCCAUCCAAGAAAAGUUUAUGAGAGAGCACGGCAAUGAUUACUUGAACCAAUAGACUAUUCCCUAUAGUCUUGAUUGAUCCACUUAUAAUCAUGCCUAGGAAGGAUCCACUAGUGCCGUGCUAAACAGCUACGGACCAGCCUAUUUGCCACUCAUAGCAAACUCAGGGAAAGUUUACUUUCACCCACGGUAUAUGGAACAACUCAUGGAACCACCGAUAGGCUAACAUUAAUCCUGCCAACUCUAAGUGUAACCUUGAGUUGCUAAUGUGCCUCACUCACGAGCCCAAGCGCAAACUCGUGCUACUGAAACAACUCAAGCCUUCUUAUGAGCCCAAGAGCAAGCUUAUAUAAUACGGUACAAAACGGUAACCAAAUCCAUACUCAAGGAACAAUUGCGAAGUCUUUGCACCAAAACGUGUACCCACUCAGAUCAUCGUUUUCAUCUCUGCGUAUGCAACAAGACUAGUUGCCCAAUCUCAUUGAAUAGUACUCGCUGAGACUCAUCCUCUGAUACCAAAUGUAGCGCAUGUGGUUUUGACCCUUUAUCCUAUGGUGAUUUACCAUAGGAUAACACCACGAAGCGGAACCUAAACCCUCUUUGUGCCACGUGACAGAUGCCAUGUGUCACAUGCCACGUGUCCAUGCCACGUGUCCAUAGGAACUCGAGGUUCAGGGCCUUGGGCUACUGAACGAAGGAACGGUGCCAAACUCCCAAGCGUGACGCCAAGGAGUGAUGGAACCGAACCACGGAGCAACUCCCGAGCAUACAGCCCAAGGAGCAAAGGGACAGGGGCCUGGAGCGACUUGGAACAGUCCUAGAGCAACCAGCAUCCCAAUGCCAGGACCAGCACGCAAAACGGAGCCAAACGGAGUCUGGCGCUAUUUCGGCAUACCGGUGGCCUAACGCGAGGACAUGGGUACUCCACCAGCUAGCAUGGAAUGGAACUUGGGCUUAGACCCAAGCCGGACGCAGAACAAGGACAGGCACGCAAGCGGGAGCUAGACUAUGCCUCAGGUUGGUCGGCCAUGCCCGACCUACCCACUAUCCCUACUAUACAUUUGGAACCCCCCAUAGCCCCCCCCCCCUUGAGGAACACACGCUUUGGGCUUUCACCCCAAGCCUCCCUUAGUAUCAGGAGUUAGUCUCUGGAACAAGCUUAAAACUUACUAAAUAUGGAAUGUCCUUAGAAUGCGAAUUUGGACACAGGACGAACACCAUUGUGUUCAGGCCGAUCUCUACAUUCCGUAGAUAUGCCAAAUGAGCGAAUCUAGACACUUUCCAUAAAUAGCAUUUGGGACCGAAAUGAGACUAACACAAAGGGCAUGAUAGCGAGGGUGUUUGGCAAACACGGUAAGCUAUCAUGUAGCGAUAUUGAGGGACCAAUCUCAAUACGCGAGGGUUCUUGUCAAGCCAGUGCAAGACAGAGCAAAAGAGAACUAAAAAGCCAAGCCAAGUAUGCUUGGCUGAAUAGACACUUAGGAAUUCCGUCCUUAUGCUCAUCCGGCCAAGUACAGAUGCAAAGUCCAGUUUACUAACACUUGAACAAGAGGGGCUGAUAAAGGGUCCAGCAAUACCGACCUCCUGCCAUCGUGGCAGUAAGGAAAGAGUGUCCGUAAGGACUAGCUGACAGGUAACUUUCGAUACCCGAAGUCACAUGCGCGACAGUCACGCACUAAAACAGGCUAUGGAUGUCUUGUAUUUUGAGAUGGAGACUCGGCCAGAUGAUUUUCCCAAGAUGGUCCUGGAAGAAUAAGCCAUCCAGCCUGAGCAGCCUAUGGAAGAAAUGCAGGAGGGGGAUGAGGAGCCAGAGAAAGAUAAUGAGCAGGAAGAGCAGAAGGAUGAAGAGGAGGACGAAGAAGAGGAGGACGAAGAGGACUUGGAUGGUCCUCAAAAUGGUGACGAUCAUAAUAAUGACGACGACGAUGAUAACGAUGAUGAUGACGACAAUGGCCAGUCUGAGGUGGCCAAAGAGCAGCAGAGGAAGGUCAUACAAGACAAACCAUCAGGUAAAUAAUAGUACAUCCAUUCCUAACCUUUUACCAUUUCUAACAUUGUCCAUGUAGGUCGCAGAGCAAAUGGUAAGUAGAGAUUAUUCAGUUGAAUUUACAAACUCUAGCCUUUAGUGUUGAGGAAGGAUAGUGCCAAGCAAGGGUCGAAACGUAUGUCCAAUCCUUCAGAAUCAGCAGUGCACCCAAGUGAUAUCGGUCCUAGUUCCUCAAUAGUAGUUGAUGGUAAAUACAGUAUAGUCAAUUCAAUGUGCUAAUGAGUUUGUUUUUAGUAGCACGGGAGGAUACCAUCUCAAUCGAAGGGAGAUAUUUGGACAUGCAUAUGGAUCCGCCAAUGGACUCUACUUGCCUGCAAGAGUCAUCAGAGCUGGUGGAGGCUACUAUCCAUAUCAACCGCAAGCAAGCUGACCACGCUCCAUUUGAUGCUGCCCAUACCACUGAGUCAAUCUUGUCCACGUAUCCAACUGACGGUGACCAGGCGCCAUUGGACCCGCAUGAGGCCGCCCCAGCCACCGAGCUGGUCGUAUCCUCAUUUCCAACGGACUCAAUGUGUGCCCAAUCGUCUGACUACGCGCCGUUGGAACCUCCCUACACCACCCCUUCUGCCUGUUCGGUCAUGUCCACUUUGCCAAUGGAGGCACCAGCUGAAAUGGCGUGUGAUCACACGCCAUCGGAACCACCCCAUGCCACUGUUGAGCCAGUUGUACUAGAGUCUACAGCUGAAAUGGCAUGUGCCCACAUGCCAUCGGAUGCGAUUGACCCCACAUUGCAGAGGAGAGUAUUUCCGCCCUUCAUGUUUCCUCGACCAAAACCCUCUCAACAACCAUCGGGAGCACCAUUCGCUAAUAUUGUAGAUGGUAAAAUUGACUUGUACCAUUUUUUAUAUUGACGCAUUUCAUUUCAGAGUCACGGCGAAGGUACUGUAUCGUUUUUGAUUUGAACGGUGUCCUUUUCUCCCAUGAGCGUGGCUCGUCCUCGAAUGUCACUGCACCCUCCAAAGCCUGCGGUCGCAAGUUGGUCAAAAGAGACAGAUUCACAUUAAUCACAUGGGAGAAACUACGGGAUCUAAUAAUGACCAUGCGACACUUAAAACAGAGGACCGGGUUCAAUUUGCAAUUGGGAGUUUGGACAUCCAUGAUGCGCCACAAUGCAUUAACGUUGCUACAGAUGAUGCACGAUCAGACGCGAGUAAUAUUACCAUUUGACUUUCUCUUAACGCAGAGGAUUGCUUGACUAUGGUCUAUGUGAGGGGUAGCAAGCCCAUCUUCGUCAAGCCAGAGGCUGUAGUGAUGAACCGGACUACUAGGUCAAGUGAAAUCCUCAUCAUCAAUGACUCGUCAAUUAAAACUACAAUGAACACGCACACAUAUGCAGUGCACCCCAUCUCUUGCAGUAUGGAAACUAGGGAGAAGAAACCGUAUGUUCUAGGGGACCUUGCAAAACGGCUUGGAGCGAUGGUGAUAGAGAACCAGCCAGUCCAGGAGGCGGCUGCAGAAAUCAACCAAAUGGCAGAUGGAACGGUAUAUCAGAAGCCAUUUGAUCGGACAGACACCAGUCAUCAUUUAUGGCAUGUAUAUUGUCUAGCCAAGCACUAUCCGCAUCUCCAUAAUCUGCUCAACCAGAUGGGUUCUUCGACCACUGAACAUGAGCGUGGACGUAUUAGAGAAGAGAUGGCAUUACUAUUGGGUUUAAAUCCUGAUAGUGUGGAGAGUGAUGAAAUUCCAAGAUUAUUGUAUAGGCGUUGGAGGCAAAAAAUAACAGUCUGAGAUGGCAUGUAUUUAUUUAAAAAUGUAACUUAUUAUGGCAUGGGGUUCCAUGCCAUUGUAUUAAUAUUAAAAGACAAUUCUUUGAGAGGAUUUGCAUUAUACUAGAAGUGUUAUAGCAUGUUAUUGGAAGUCUACGAAGUUGUUUUAUUAAUAAGGGGAAAGUAAAGAUUGAAUAGGGACUUGGGCUCCACCUAGACUCGGAGCAACUAAGCCAAUAUUAAAAGGAUGGAAAGAAAUUGGACGACAAUGACAAGGAGAAGAGAGAGGUGAAGCAAUGGCAAGGGGAGGAGAAGUGAUUGAGUAGCCAUUUCCUUGUUUAAAAUAAAAUGGCAUGUGCCUCAAUGUAGUUGAAUUUUGUUAUAUUUAUAUACUAUAUAAAGGUUUGGAAACCUUAUUUUACAAGUGGGAUAAUGACAAUUCCCACUUUAACGAAAUAGAACUUCUAGGGAAAAUGCUAUUGCUACUCGCACUUGGCCCCCAUGCAUUUCAUAUGAGUCUCCACCUCCAUCUCCAACUUCUACCAACAUUCCACCAUUCCCUCCAUACAUCAAUCGUUGUGAGGCUUUUUCUUUUGUAGCCCCAAGUGUGACUGAACAAGAGAUCCCUCUUCCAAAUAAUGUUCUAGAUGUUUCUACUAAAGAUGGAUUGCCUCAUGUGCUUCAAGAGCGAUGCCAGAUGUUUCUUCAAGAUCUUGCUCCCGAUAUGGUUGAAACUUUUGAAAGAAUGAACACAUAUUAUCUCCAGUGUCCCAUCUGCUACUUUUAUUUAGAUAAAACGGAGGGCUGUAUGGGUCUAGAAACUUUUCGAGAACAUUGUCACAACUGCCCAAGAACUGAUGUGGAAGGUGUGCAUAAAUGGAUGUAUAAGAAAAUCAAGAAAGAGUUAAGAACACACAAUCAUUAUCAUUUCAUGGUGAGGAACAAUAUUCCGUUAGUAAAUCCUACAUCCACAAGUUAUGGUAUUUUUAGGCCAUCCUACUGAAAAUUCCAGCCACUAAUAAUUCUUACACUAUGAUAUUAUUCAUCCGCCCCCCCCCCCCCCCUCACCUUUUUUUUAUUAACAAAAUUGUAUUACCUAUAGAUAAUAAACUGAUAAUACUAGUAAUUAUGAAAUUUGACAGACUGACACUGUAACUUUGUCAUCUCUGACACUGACACUGUCUCUGUCACUGACACUAUCACUGUCGCUAUCUGCUACACUGACAUUGUCAGUGUCACAAUCAUUAUCACAUUGACAUGUGACACAUCUUUCUCAUUGCAUUCAAUUGUCUUUUAAUGUAUCAUUAAUAAAUAGAUUUUUCAUACCACUCCUCAAUUUACACAUUGCAUAUGAUAUGCCAUGCAUACCUAGGAAGAACUUCUAGACUCCAUAUUUUUUGAAGGAUCGGCAACCAAUCCUCCCCUCUGUGACACCAUUGGUGUUGGAUUCAAGUGUCGGUUUUGCAAGAAUGCUCUAUUGUGUCGUGCCAUCUGCGGGGCCAAGAUGUACUAUUUUCUUCCACGGGAUGGAAAGGUUGGUAGAGCUGCAGUACAUAUUGGCACGCACACACAUCCAAUGCAGGAAGGGAUACAAAGGAGUUCAGUCAACCAUUUCAAAGAUGCAGUGCAGAUAGAGACUAUGAGAAACUCAUCUGCAACUCUGAAGCAUGUUCAGAAGACAGUGCUCAAGGAUUUUAUCGCAAAUACUUUACUUGAUCCGGACUACAAGAAUACUCAACUGGAUGAGGCUAGCUUGCGGGAGUUACUAUGACAUGUGCAACCUGCAACUAGCCUCAGGAGGUAUGAAAAUAUUAUUACAUACUUUUCAAUAAUAUCUCUCUUACAUUUUGUUUCAUCCAGGAUAACGUCUCGGAUGUGUGAAUCUCGAGAGGGGAAACUCCAAUCAGAAAUUGACUCAAUCCUUGAACUAAAACGGACUUGUCCCUAUGAGUUUAUCCAUGGGAGUUUAUUUCCAGAUCAAGUCGUUAGUGAGCAAGAGCGCCCCUUCGUUUUCAAAAUGUCUACCAUGGGCCCUGCCUCUGGUGUGGAUCUUGUUUCCCGAAUGGAUAUGUCUGGGUCGAGUGACCUUGCUAAUGCAUGGGUACAUUUUGACCAUAUGGAGCGGGUGGCAGGUUGGACAACCAUGGGAGCUCAUGUGUAUGAUCCAAGGUAGUUUUUUUUCUCAUUAUCUUAAAAUGGUUUUAAACAUUGCACUUUUCACAGGCUACGUUGUAACUUGACAAUUGCAACGGCAGAGUUUAAAGUACAAGACCAGAUGGCUCAAGAAAUAUUUUGGAAGUCCCUCUCCGACAUUGUAUUGAAGCGGACUGGUAAGCCUGCCAACUUUCGCGGUUUUAUGGCAGAUGGGGCUGGGGCUAAUUGGAAUGGUGUCCGGGCAGUCUUUGGGAAUGGUCAACCAUUGGAAGGUCGUGAAAGGACUUGUGAGUUCCAUUGGGCUCAGAGCCUAAACCAACACUGCCAUCUUAUCAAGCCAGAUUUCCAAUUAGCAUUUAAGGAGUUGUGCAAACAAUGGCAGGCUGCACCUUCUGAAGAAGAGCAUGAGGCAAAAGCAAACGAGAUCCGAAUGUGGUGGCGUGAAGAUGGCCAUACUGACGUAAGUUGUCUACCACAACUUGAGUCGUGGUUGGGGUGGUGGGAAGUUAGAAUGUUCCAAUGGGGACAUCACUCUUUUCAGGUUGGUUUUGCUUUUUUUCCUCUCUUUUUAUUGCUUUUUAAUAUCAUCUUUUUAUAAGGAUCAACCACUUGAGGAUCUUGCAUACACCCCAACUGUGAAUCUCUCAGAGAGUAAAUAUUGGAACUGGCGUUCCUCUGAGGCAGGGAAAGGGAAGAUGAGUCUAUAUGAAGCAUGUCUAUCAGAUUUGAUACGCGCUGUAGAGCAGUCUUCAAAAGCCUUGGCAUUUGAGGAAGGAAGAUACAUGGGAACAGGACCUUCGGUUGAGAUGUUACAAGAUCGGAUGAAGAAGAAAGUGACUCCACUAGCACGAACAAUGGCAACUGCAGUGGAGGAAGUGGUCCGUGGCACAUCUAUGGAGUACACUCCUCGGGCUUCUAUUGGUGAUAUGAAGACCGUCCGUUCAAAGCGUCGAUUUUCCUUUGCUGGUGAAGAUGUUGGCACGGAUCUUGGAGCAAAAAGCUCUCACACACCUGAUGUUGAGUAUCAUUCUGCUCCAAGACAUCACCCCAGAACCGAACCACCUCAAGUGGCUGAUGAAGAAAGUGCAUCACAGCAGGUUGAAAUUGCUUAUCGUAGUGUGGAGCCGAAGCAAUGGGCAAUCCGUUGAGUGCCAGCGAAAUCAAAUGUAAGGUGUGUGGGGAUGCUUCCAAGGGGCAAGUGUUGGGCUUGGAUCCGUGGUGAUAAGUCUGCUUCUGUUCCAGCCCCAUGUUUCCAUGGGGAACGAAAGCAAGCAGGAUUUUCAAGAUGGUGUUGGUUAUAUUGCUGCAACUCUGAUGUCAACCAUACAAAGCGGCUUGAAGACACUAUAGUGACUAAACCUGAUGCAGUACCUAAAGAAUGGCCAGUUGCUAAUGGGGUUGCGCUCACCUCGGAUGAGAUUGAAAACCUUGAGAAAUCUGGUUUCAAUCUUGAAAGGAGAGUUGGAGAUAUGAGUGACAGAACCAAGAAUAUUCCUACAGAGAUGCACAGGAGGCCAGCACGAAAAGGUAAGGCAGUUAAAUUUAUUGGUACCGUCUCCAAGCAGAAGCAAGGUAAAAUAAACUUGGCUCAAACACUUGAGUGUGAGAUUCUCUCCACGAAGUACAUCACUGCGCUCACAAAGGAGUACACAGUCAAAACAGAAGGUGGAGAGUACACAAUUGCCAUUCAAGACUUUCCUUCUUGCACAUGUCCAGACUUUACGAAGCGCGAGGAACAUGGGAAGGCAUAUGCUCCUUGCAAGCAUAUGUACUACAUCUUCAUCAACAUCUUGCACCAGGAUCCUAAAGUGGAUAUUUAUAUAUACCAAGCAAGCCUUACUAUUGCCGAGUUGCAGAAAACUUUUGGAGCUAAUUAGAUUUUCCAGCACUAUCGAUGUUUAUUCUCUAUCAAUAAUAUAAACUAAUUAUACUUUAUAUAAUUAAUAAAAAUAUUUUAUUAUUUCACUUUUCAUUUCAUAUACUUGUGAGGUUCUUUUUGUAAUAUUACCCAUAGUAUUUGUGAGUCUCCAUUUUUAUCUUUACCUUCUCAAAAAAUAUUUCGAGAUAGUCUUUCGGGUGUAUGAUGUUACAAUGUAUUGUGAGAGCAUAUGUACCAUCACAGUUGUUUUUUUUUCCUUUCAAAUGGUUAUAUGGCCUUAUAUAGAAUCUUAAGUCAAAUUUAAUAAUUUUAAAAUUCUGAUGAACCUGACAUUUACUAGCUAGAAAGCACAGUGUACAAAUUUAAAGAAGUGACAAGAAUACUCUUUUUGCAAACAUUUUAUUUUAUAUUCUAACAAAUGUCUCUAUUAUUGCAUGUAGUAAAUAUUUAAAUUAUUAGAACAAGAAGUGUCCUUUAGAACAUUUUUAUCUAUAUAAUAUAUAGAGAGUUAUGAAAUUAUUAAGUUCGCCAUAACUUUAAAAUUUUAAAGUUUAUAAUGUUUGUACUAAAUUACAAUUGAAAAUUGAGCUCAACUCGUGAGCUCAACUCUUCAGCUCGUGAGCUCAAGUAUGGUCCACGCUUCAGGUGACUAAGGCUGUGCCGACUGAAUGUGCUUCAAAGCAUUUAAGAGCUUAAAUCGCCUCGUCCCAUUUCCUGGCAGUGGAGUAAGAAUGAAGAUCAUACAAAUUCUACGCACCACAAAUACCUUGCUUUGAUGGAACUCCUCACAAAUAACAACUUGCAAUGGGGUUCUC
rnacentral:lncRNA from 1 species